GGCUUCAACAUCCCCGCCGGUUGGGCAUCGCAAGAUGCAGUGAAUCGGCUGGAGCC
rfam:Acidobacteriales bacterium 13_1_40CM_3_55_5 13_1_40cm_3_scaffold_5937, whole genome shotgun sequence.